rnacentral:rRNA from 1 species
UGUGCAUCAGAGCUAUAAUGCAAAUAGAGUUCCGACCAGAGAUGGAAGGAAUGCUUUUAUUAGAUCAAAACCAAUCGGUGGCGGGCUUGCCUUGCAACCGUUUGACUUGGUGACUCUGAAUAACUUUGUGCUGAUCGCACGGUCUCGUACCGGCGACGCAUCUUUCAAAUGUCUGCCUUAUCAACUGUCGAUGGUAGUUUCUGCGACUACCAUGGUUGUUACGGGUAACGGGGAAUCAGGGUUCGAUUCCGGAGAGGGAGCCUGAGAAACGGCUACCACAUCCAAGGAAGGCAGCAGGCGCGCAAAUUACCCACUCCCGGCACGGGGAGGUAGUGACGAAAAAUAACGAUACGGGACUCAUCCGAGGCCCCGUAAUCGGAAUGAGUACACUUUAAAUCCUUUAACGAGGAUCUAUUAGAGGGCCAGUCUGGUGCCAGCAGCCGCGGUAAUUCCAGCUCUAAUAGCGUAUAUUAAAGUUGUUGCGGUUAAAAAGCUCGUAGUUGAAUCUGUGUCCCACACUGUCGGUUCACCGCUCGCGGUGUUCAACUGGCAUGUCUGUGAGAAGUCAUACCGGUGGGAUUAGCCCGUCAAAAGACGGCCCAACUCAAAAUCCUACCACGGUGCUCUUCACCGAGUGUCGAGGUGGGCCGGUACGUUUACUUUGAACAAAUUAGAGUGCUUAAAGCAGGCUCAUUUGCCUGAAUAUUGUGUGCAUGGAAUAAUGGAAUAGGACCUCGGUUCUAUUUUGUUGGUUUUCGGAAUUCCGAGGUAAUGAUUAAUAGGGACAACUGGGGGCAUUCGUAUUGCGACGUUAGAGGUGAAAUUCUUGGAUCGUCGCAAGACGGACAGAAGCGAAAGCAUUUGCCAAAUGUGUUUUCAUCAAUCAAGAACGAAAAGUUAAAGGUUCGAAGGCGAUCAGAUACCGCCCUAGUUCUAACCAUAAACGAUGCCAGCUAACGAUCCGCCGAAAUUCCUCCGAAGAAUCCGGCGGGCAGCUUCCGGGAAACACAAAGCUUUUGGGUUCCCGGGGAAAAAUAGUUGCAAAGCUGAAACUUAAAGGAAUUGACGGAAGGGCACCACCAGGAGUGGAGCCUGCGGCUUAAUUUGACUCAACACGGGAAACCUCACCAUCCGAACCCG